UGCUGCAUUGAGACAUGGGUACACAAACCAUAUAUAAGAGAAAUCGAUCAAUCGGUGUACCUCAUCUCUGAUUACAAAGGCAAAAUGAUAAGCCAUUGGUGCACAAGCAUAUGAAUGAACACUUCUCAUGCAUGACGAUGUAUAGAAGUUACCCUGCUGCAUUGAGACAUGGGUACACGAACCAUAUAUAAGAGAAAUCUAUCAAUCAGUGUACCUCAUCUCUGAUUACAAAGACAAACGUCUAACAUUUGCAUUUGCACUGCGGAUGCCUUGGCAACAGGCCGGCCAAGGGUUGUAGAAAUUUCGUUAGAGGGAGACUGGGGAUUGCAAUUUAUACUUGGAUGAAAGAGGGUAUUGGAGAGGGACCAACUGCUUUGUGUCUCCAGAGAUCGUCAAUGUGAUUUGAUGGGCGAGGGUGAUGCCGAGCGAGAAUGGUGGCAUUACAGAGCAGCACCGGUGCAUGCUAGUACCAGUGCCAGUGCAAUGCCAUGCAGAAUGGAACAGUGGCUCUGCUGCUGGCCUUAAAUUAGAGAGUACUCUGGUUUUGUUUGGCUCGCCCGGGGCUGCAGCCCACCCAGUCUCGGACAUAGGCCUCCUUUUGUGUUUCCUUCGUAACCGCAGAGUGUUGUCUUUUUCCUAGGAUGUUUGGUCCGUGCAUUUUUCAGAGUGAUCUUAUCACACUGCGAGCUGGUAACGUUAGGCCUUGUUGAGAUCUAAAUUAAAACCUUUUUGGAUUUGGGUAUAUAUAUAGCACUUUCGUUUGUAUUUGGCAAUUAUUGUCCAAUUAUGAACUAACUAGGCUCAAAAAAUUUGUCUCGCAAAUUACAGUUAAACUAUGCAAUUAGUUAUCUUUUUAUCUAUAUUUAAUGCUCUAUGCAUGUGCC
rnacentral:lncRNA from 1 species